GACGAACGCUGGCGGCGUGCUUAACACAUGCAAGUCGAACGGAAAGGCCCUGCUUGCGGGGUGUUCGCGUGGGGAACGGGUGAGUAAAACGCGGGUGUUCUGCCCUGCACUCCGGGAUAAGCCUGGGAAACUGGGUCUAUUACCGGAUAGAGGCCCUUCUGCGUCUGGGGGUGGGAUGGAUUUUUUGGGGUGGGGUGGGUUUACGGCCUGCUAGUUUGUUGGUGGGGUAAUGGGCUACCAAGGGGGCGAGGGGGAGCCGGCCUGGGUGGGUGGACGGCCACAUUGGGAAUGGGAUAAGGGCCAGACUCCUAACGGGAGCAGCAGGGGGGAAUAAUGCACAAUGGGGGGGAGGCUGAUGCAGCGAAGGCGCGGGGGGGAUGACGGCCUUCGGGGUGUAAAAUCGUUUCGCUAGGGAAGAAGCUUUUUGUGACGGUACCUAGAUAAGAAGCACCGGCUAACUACGUG
rnacentral:rRNA from 1 species